rnacentral:rRNA from 1 species
AGAAUCAACGCUGGCGGCGUGCCUAACACAUGCAAGUCGAACGAGAAAGCACUCUUCGGAGGGCGAGUAAAGUGGCGAACGGGUGAGUAACGCGUGGGUGAUCUGCCCUUUGGUGGGGGAUAACCCGGGGAAACCCGGGCUAAUACCGCAUAAGCCUGCACUUGUAAGCGAGUGCAGGGAAAGUUUUCGGAUACCGAAGGAGGAGCCCGCGUCCGAUUAGCUAGUUGGUGAGGUAAAAGCUCACCAAGGCAACGAUCGGUAGCCGGUCUGAGAGGACGGACGGUCACACUGGGACUGAGACACGGCCCAGACUCCUACGGGAGGCAGCAGUGGGGAAUUUUGGGCAAUGGGCGAAAGCCUGACCCAGCAACGCCGCGUGGAGGAUGAAGGUUUUCGGAUCGUAAACUCCUGUCUAGAGGGACGAAGAAAGUGACGGUACCUCUGGAGGAAGCCCCGGCUAACUCCGUGCCAGCAGCCGCGGUAAUACGGGGGGGGCAAGCGUUGUUCGGAAUUACUGGGCGUAAAGGGCGCGUAGGCGGUUUCGGAAGUCAUGGGUGAAAGUCCUCGGCUCAACCGAGGGAUUGCCUGUGAAACCACGGGACUGGAGUGCUGGAGAGGGAAGUGGAAUUCCCAGUGUAGCGGUGAAAUGCGUAGAUAUUGGGAGGAACAUCUGUGGCGAAGGCGGCUUCCUGGACAGACACUGACGCUGAGGCGCGAAAGCCAGGGGAGCGAACGGGAUUAGAUACCCCGGUAGUCCUGGCUGUAAACGAUGAACACUUGGUGUGGGGGGUGAUGAAAGUCCCUCUGUGCCGGAGAGAACUCAUUAAGUGUUCCGCCUGGGGAGUACGGCCGCAAGGCUG